GGGCAAUGUUUACUUUAUUCGAAGUUGCUUCCUAUUGCCUCUGCUUGUUACCAACUGGCAAACUUAUGUUUUAUCAGAGAAGAGUGGAAGGCAUACUUGUGUGAGGACUCAAUUCAACAAAAUAACAGUUUUAUCAACUUGAUAAAGACCUCAUUGUAAGGUUGAAACGUUGUUGCUGUCUUCCUUUAAUAAAUCUGCCUGAGCUGGAA